GUUCAAGCUGUCGCUGAUCAAUAUAUUGAUCAGACACUUUGCGUGUUGGUCACGGUGGCCAAACAGGCAACUCAAAUAAAAUUUACAUCAAUUCUAAACAAACAAACGGAAACAAACGGAAACAAACGAGAGCCAUUGUGUUCAAAACAAACGAGAGCCAUUGUACGAAGGUAUCACGUGACUCAGAGCUACAGUAUAUCAUAUAAAACUGCAAAUUUUACAGAUUUCUAUUACUGCUGCUGAUAGAUCAAGUCGCAGUGAUAUAUAUUGCAUUUGGUUAAAUGGGGGUAACAAUUGAGCAAUAUCAUGCCUGAAUUCAAUUGGUGCACAUUUUAAUAGUUAUAGUGUGAGAAGCAAUGAUCUAUCAGGCAUCAGACGUCCUUUUCUCGAUAAUAUAAAUAUGUUGAUAUGAGCACCUGUAUAUAACCCCCUCCCCCCCAUGUAUAAGCCCAUCAACAAACGCUUACGAACUUAUAUAAGCCCAGGGCUUAUAAUCGGAGGUUUACGGUAUUUGGUUUGUUUGCAAUAUUUGGUUUGUCCACACGGUUUGAGUGUUUGACAAUUGACAUUUGAAAUAAAUGAGAUAUUAACUUUAAAACAUUGCAUUCACUGUUUUACUUGGCCAAACAAUCUAUUAAAAUUACAUGUCAGUAGUUAAACCUACUUCUUAUUAGAAUGGGUAAUAACC